rnacentral:lncRNA from 10 species
GUGUCCUUCUUGCCAGACCGGUUGCAGCUGAGCAUGGCUUUCGAGGCCCCAGGACUGCCCUGACACUUCAGUGGCUCUAGGAAGGGGAGAGAGGCCUGAGCAAAUGAAUGCAUUCCUUUCCCUCAGUUGGGUAAUUUGGAGGAAUCAGCUACUUGCAUAACUAUUGUUGUACCCAUGGAGACUGAUGAUGGGAUUGUUUACUACAAAUUUCAUGUCUUUAACUCAAAAUGGCUACAUUCUCCACCCUUUCCACCUCACACCUUUCCCCAAUGUGAUACUCUAUGCUUUCCAGAACCCCAACUGCUCCCUGAAAUGGCAGUGUCAUCUUUGGCCAGCAGAGGGCACUGCCCACCUGUGCAAUCUUUGCCAUUCCAGUGCAGCCGACCCUGGCCUGCUGGGCAGGUACACUGGUAGCUGCCAGGAGUGUUGAUGCAGCCAAAGCGGCAACCUCCCCGGUUGAUGCUGCAUUCAUCCACAUCUGGGGGAAGGAGUAGGGAGACAGAAAAACAACGAUGGAGUUGGAGGAGGAGCCGGAGAGUAGGCAGUGAGUGAGGGCCUUUGGUUAGAGUUUCAGGUACCCUGCAUUACGCAAGAUGAAUAAGUUCGAGAGAUCUACUGUACAACAGUGUGCCUAUAGGCACAUAAAUACUGUAGUGUACACUUAAAAACUUAAGAGGGUAGAUCUCUUGUUAAAUAUUCUUACAAUUUAAAAAAGUUAAAAAGGCAUUCUAGGCACUGUAAGAUGACUACUGGCCUGAGAAGAGCUCAAACCUCCUCCAAUUAUCUCUGUCCCCAAAGGAAUGAUCGAGAAGGGGCCAAGCCAACAAGCUUUUUAAAGCCUUCCACUCCUCCCAACCAGUGAGACUGUCAUUUGGGAGCUGAGAGUGGGGGUUCAGGGACAGUUAUAGGAAUGGGAGAUAGGAAUUUUGGAGGCAGGAUGCUGUUUCCGCAGUCUCCCAGUUCUUCAAAAGCUGUCUUAAUUCCUCCUAUUUUGUCACAGCGGAUGCAGACAUGGUGCAUGCAUCCAGGGAUUGCCCAUAGCCACAAGCCAACACAAGGACCUGUUCAAUUGGAGGGUGAAGAGUUCUUCCCAGCAGGAAACCUCUCAACUCUGGCUGGCUGACCUGCUGCCCUAGCCUCCCCCCUCCUCUCGCAGCUGUUGGGCCAAAAGACACAAAGAACGAGCCCAGUCCUCCUCGUCCCCACUCCUUGUGACCAGGGGAUAUGGACCUAAUGAAUCAUCAUUUUCAGUAUGGCUACCCUGCCUUUUUCCUCCACCCUUUCCCCCCAUUCUCCCUCAGACCUGGCUAAUUAAAAGGAAGGGAAACAGAAUGCAUAAUGUGGGUAACUAUACUGUAAUAACAGUUAACACAAAGUGUUUCCAUUUGCCAAGCACUGUUCUAAGUACUUUUUAUGUAAUCACUCUUUUAAUCACAACACAGUAUGAGGCGAGCACUAUGGAAAACUGAGGCACAGAGACAUUAAGUGACUUGUCCAGGAUCACAGAGCUAGUAGGAGACAGGGCUGGGAUCUGAACCCAGCUUCAGUCCUCCUAACUAGUAUCCUACUCUCCCUUUGACCAGUACAGCCUUUCGAGGGGUAGACAUCAUUUCCCCAGAGCCCACUGGGAAGGUCUGAGGAAUGUGGGGUAAGAAGGUUAUGGAACACACCUGUGACCUCAUGCACACACACAGUCAGGGCUCAAAUAUCCUUCCAGACCCAGGAGCAAAUGUGAAUCGCAUGUCCAUUAACUAAG